UUUACACACCUAGAAUCAAAAUAACUGAUUGUUUUUUAAUUUACAGGAAAUGUAUAAACAGUGGCGUCUCCAUUAUUCAUACUUAGGGGGGUCACAUAAGGGGCGAGGGACAAAAGUAGCAUAUAAAUUUGACAAACAUAUAGCAUAUAUCACAUGUUCAUGCUACAGAAAGCUUCACGUAUGUCCGGUAUUGGUUGGGGUAUGUAUCUGGUAUAUGCCGAUGAAUUCCACUAUCCCAAUGUCUUGAUAAUAUGUACUGGUAUGUUUAUGCUAGAAUCAGUGGUGGCUGCUCCAUUGCGGAAGGAGUGUCCUGAGUAGUGGAAUGGAUUAAAG